AUUGCUUCUCAGUCUUCUGACUAAGAUCAAGUGUAGCAUCUAAUCAGUGAAAUAUCUGAUAUGUACCCUAACUGAUAACAGUAAAUUAAAUGAACUUUUGGAGGAGGGUACAGAAUAGACCUGGUGUUACAGUGCCUCCAGGAAUGGUAAACUGUUC
rnacentral:snRNA from 1 species